rnacentral:lncRNA from 1 species
GGCAAUCGGGUAUCAAAGUCCAUCGAUAGGAAACCUUGAUCGAAGAGUCCCAAACCAGUGGGACUCUUGACCCCGGUACCCAAAAUGUAUGGGACUCGUGAUCAGAGAAUCUUGAUUCUCGAUCAUAGAGUCUCAGACACGUAGGACUCAUAGUCCACAAACAUUAAGACUCUUCAUCAGCCAUCAGAUCAGAUAGGAACCUCUAAUGUGUGUGACCCCGUAGGUUCGAACCUAAGCCAGUAGCAUAGGAACCAAUUCCUAUACUAAUCGAAGUGACCAUCUAACAAUAGUACCCGAUGUUCAGAUAGGUCGAAUAGUCACAAUCGCAACACUCAGAACCUACGUAAAUAUGGUUACUGUAUAAUUCAUCCCUUUUGACCACUGUGUUUAGGAUGACUCAGGGUUAAACUGUCAACCCUGAUUAGAUCAUCCGAGUCGUGCUCAACUGAAACAGUCCUGUGACUCCUCACUAGGACUAUCCUGACCAAUAUUUUACUAAAUUAAAAUACGACUGUACACAGCUCCUGAACUGGAGUGGUCAAUCCCAUCUUGACACACGCNNNNNNNNNNNNNNNNNNNNCCCAAAAUGUGUGGGACUCAUGAUCAGAGAAUCCUGAUUUUUGAUCACAGAGUCUCAGACAUGUAGGACUCAUAGUCCACGAAUAUUAGGACUCUUCAUCAGCCAUCAGAUCAGAUAGGAACCUCUAAUGUGUGUGACCCCGCAGGUUCGAACCUAAGCCGAUAGCACAGGAACCAAUUCUUAUACUAAUCGAAGUGACCAUCUAGCAAUGGUAUCCGACAUUCGGAUAGAUCGAAUAGUCACAAUCGCAA